UACGAAGGGGGCUAGCGUUGUUCGGAUUUACUGGGCGUAAAGCGCACGUAGGCGGUUUGUUAAGUGAGAGGUGAAAUCCCAGAGCUCAACUCUGGAACUGCCUUUCAUACUGGCAAGCUAGAGUCCGGAAGAGGUAAGUGGAACUCCUAGUGUAGAGGUGGAAUUCGUAGAUAUUAGGAAGAACACCAGUGGCGAAGGCGGCUUACUGGUCCGGAACUGACGCUGAGGCGCGAAAGCUAGGGGAGCAAACAGG
rnacentral:rRNA from 1 species